GAUGAACGCUGGCGGCGUGCCUAAUACAUGCAAGUCGAGCGAACGGACGAGAAGCUUGCUUCUCUGAUGUUAGCGGCGGACGGGUGAGUAACACGUGGAUAACCUACCUAUAAGACUGGGAUAACUUCGGGAAACCGUAGCUAAUACCGGAUAAUAUUUUGAACCGCAUGGUUCAAUAGUGAAAGACGGUCUUGCUGUCACUUAUAGAUGGAUCCGCGCUGCAUUAGCUAGUUGGUAAGGUAACGGCUUACCAAGGCAACGAUGCAUAGCCGACCUGAGAGGGUGAUGGCCCACACUGGAACUGAGAGACGGUCCAGACGCCUACGGGAGGCAGCAGGUGGGAAUCUGCCGCAAUGGGCGAAAGCCUGACGGAGCAACGCCGCGCGAGUGAUGAAGGUCUUCGGGUCGUAAAACGCUGUUAUGAGGGAAGAACAGAUGUGUAAGUAACUGUGCACAUGUUGACGGUACCGAAGCAGAAAGCCCCGGCUAACUACGU
rnacentral:rRNA from 1 species